rnacentral:rRNA from 1 species
UACAACUUUCAGCAACGGAUCUCUUGGCUCUCGCAUCGAUGAAGAACGCAGCGAAAUGCGAUAAGUAAUGUGAAUUGCAGAAUUCAGUGAAUCAUCGAAUCUUUGAACGCACCUUGCGCCCUUUGGUAUUCCGAAGGGCAUGCCUGUUUGAGUGUCAUUAAA